rnacentral:rRNA from 1 species
GACGUAGGGGGCCAGCGUUGUUCGGAAUUACUGGGUGUAAAGGGUUCGUAGGCGGUGUGGCAAGUUGGGAGUGAGAUCUCUGGGCUCAACCCAGAGGCUGCUUCCAAAACUGCUGUGCUUGAGUGUGAGAGAGGCUCGUGGAAUUGCAGGUGUAGCGGUGAAAUGCGUAGAUAUCUGCAGGAACACCCGUGGCGAAAGCGGCGAGCUGGAUCACUACUGACGCUGAGGAACGAAAGCUAGGGGAGCAAACAGG